GUGUCAGCAGCCGCGGUAAUACAGAGGGUGCAAGCGUUAAUCGGAAUUACUGGGCGUAAAGCGCGCGUAGGUGGUUUGUUAAGUUGGAUGUGAAAGCCCCGGGCUCAACCUGGGAACUGCAUUCAAAACUGACAAGCUAGAGUAUGGUAGAGGGUGGUGGAAUUUCCUGUGUAGCGGUGAAAUGCGUAGAUAUAGGAAGGAACACCAGUGGCGAAGGCGACCACCUGGACUGAUACUGACACUGAGGUGCGAAAGCGUGGGGAGCAAACAGGAUUAGAAACCCCCGUAGUCC
rnacentral:rRNA from 1 species